ACUGAGGCGGUCUCCUCAUUUCAUGCCUCAUGGUAUCACGUGACAUGGGUAGGAGAAACACAGUGCAUGCAGCUUUCUGGCUUGCAUUGGCCUGGGCACUGGGAACUGAAGUUGAAGACCAUAGGAAGGAGAUGACGGGUGUGCAGAGUUCAGCAGUCAUGGCCAAAGUAUGGUCCUAUUCCGCACCAUCAUCAGCUCUGGGCUCUCUGGCAUAAUGAUCUGUUCAGGUGUGAGCUCUCAGCAUCCAGUCCCUGCCACCAUGCCUGCAACUUGCUGCCAUACUCCCUCACCAUGAGCCAAAUGAACUCUUCCUUCUAUAAGUGGCCUUGGUCAAGUUGUUUCACCACAGCAAUGGAAAGGUAACUAAGUCCUGGAGCAUGUGCAGUCCUAUAAUUGGACCCCACCCUGCAGGCCUGGGGACCUUGACAGCUCUCUCUCCGCACCUGCACCCGACAGUGAUAUCGCAGGAGUCAGUCUGUAGCCACUGAAUGGAUUAUUUCUGAGAAGAGGAAGAGAUGGAAACAUGGACGUUUCCAGACGAGACUGAAUGUGUCCAGGAACCCUGGUUUCAAAGCCAUGGCACCUGUCCAGCCAGGCUGUGAGCUCACUGGGAAACCUUCAACUGCUUCUCAAACACUGCACAGCUCCCAGGGUGCUAGAGGACACUCUGCCUCAAGGAAGACUUUUCCCAUAGCUGAGGGACAAGGGCAGGAAGUAUCUGCUGAAGCCUCUGGCUGUCUUGACAGCGGAGACAGCCUGGUGACGAGCAGCGGCAGACACUUGGGUCCCUUGGCCCACCUCUUCCAGCCCAGCUUGGCUGCCCAAGGCCCAGUAGGAGGGUGGAUGGUGGGUUUCACUCGGUGAGAUCCGACAGAAACCACAGCAGCUCCUCUGUCGGCUCCAGUAAUCAUCAGCCUCAAUCUCUGGUGCGAUAUUUUAUGAAUUAAUAAAAAUGAUCACGGGCAGUCCAGGGGGACCCAAGGAAGAAUCGCAUGCGGUAGAAUUUUAAUGAGCACCAUGGGGAAUUUCAACCUUCCCCUGCUUUUUAUUAUUAUUUUUUGAAAAAAUAUCUUCCCUUCUCCCUCCUUGCUGGCCCACCCCUUUUGAAAAAAAAAUCAUAGACUGAGCCACUCUAAAUGACUGUUACAUGAAUUAGGUGUCUUUCCCUCCCCGUGUUCUUUGGCCCACCACACAGCCCUCCUGCCCCACACACCCGCCUGGCACACCUGCUCUCUGCCCUAAUUGAGCAGAUCAUCAGCCUAUUUGUCAAGCUUAGCCCAGACCCCCUAACAGCCACCUCCUCCCCUA